rnacentral:rRNA from 1 species
UGGGGAAUAUUGGACAAUGGGCGAAAGCCUGAUCCAGCAAUGCCGCGUGAGUGAUGAAGGCCUUAGGGUUGUAAAGCUCUUUUAGUGGGGAAGAUAAUGACGGUACCCACAGAAAAAGCCCCGGCUAACUUCGUGCCAGCAGCCGCGGUAAUACGAAGGGGGCAAGCGUUAUUCGGAAUUACUGGGCGUAAAGAGCGCGUAGGCGGUUUACCAAGUUGGAAGUGAAAGCCCGGGGCUUAACCUCGGAAUUGCUUUCAAAACUAGUAAGCUAGAGAACGGUAGAGGAUAGUGGAAUUCCUAGUGUAGAGGUGAAAUUCUUAGAUAUUAGGAGGAACACCAGUGGCGAAGGCGGCUAUCUGGGCCGUUUCUGACGCUGAGGCGCGAAAGCGUGGGGAGCAAA